rnacentral:lncRNA from 1 species
UAGAGUUUGAGGCCAGCCUGGGAUACAUGAGAGCCAGUCUUAAGAAGCUAACAUAUAAGUAAAACUUGGAUGUUGCUUAUGUCCCUUUGGGAUGCAUGUAUUUAUUUGCAGGUAGUAUUUAUUAAAUACUACUAAGUGACAGAGAUUACUUUAAGAUGUUUAAUUGUUUGGAAGGAGUCCAGAAAGUGGUAACAAUGUAUAAAAAACAUUACUCAUUUCCCUGAGAUGUUGUACCUGUUUGUUUGAGAAGGGAGUUGUCUGCCCUCUCUCUGGUUUUAAGCAGGUGGCAGAAGCAAACAAGAGUUAUUUUGUGUUUCCUUGUUUUUUGAAAGCAAGUUACCAUCCUCCUUGUAACAUAGUGGUGAUAUCUGCGGCACAGUCUAGAAGCUCAGGAAGACUGUAGCUGGUUAGGCCUUGGAGUUUCAGGGGGUUUUCACCCACGCAGGUUGGAUUUGCACAGGCUUGUAGUGCCUUCUGGGCUUGGUGGACAGAUUUAUUCACCUGUGCCAGGAUACAAACAUGGGCCCAAGGCACACCCUCAUUUGAUGGUGUAUCGGGAAAAGGCCUCCCGGAACAGAUGAGCGGGCAUCCUGGAGAUCAGGCCGGUCCAGUCUCUGUGGAAACCUCUCGCAAUUCAGGGAGGAAACAAUGGCUGCACAGGAGCAGAGUCAGCAGCCCUGCCCUCCCACCCAUGCUGAGCCGGGAUCCUUGGUGCUUCCAGUCUCCCUCCCCACCCAUUUUCCUGAUAGGCAAGCAAACAUCAGGUCCUUGUCCCUCCUCUGGCUUCCUCAUCUGCUGUCAGGUGUGGGGCUUUGAUUCCACCCAGAGCAAUGUUUUCCUAGUGCAUGGUGACCUAUAUUGACUCUUCGUAUUUAUACUUUUUUUUUUUUUAAGAGGGCUGAUUUCUGGGCUCCACUCCAGGGCUACUGAAUAUAUCUUUAAAGGGUUCCUAAUUGAGAAAGCUCGUUAGAUAAAGUGUUUUCCAUUCAACCACAUGAACUUGAGUUUGGAUUCUCAGAGCCCACAAAAAAACUUGGUGUGGUGGUUUACACCUGCAAUCCCAAGACGGGGAAGCUGAGGCCAGAGGGUCCCCAGAAUGUAUUGACUGUCCAGUCUAGCUAAAUCAGUAUUGUCCUUAGCCAGUCUGCCCACAUUGGUGACCUCUAGGUUCAGUGAGAGAUCCUGACUCAAAUAAUAAGGUGGAGAGCAAUGCACACCCACACAGCACACACACACUCCAGUCAGCACCAAAACAAAAACCUUUUAAAAGAUAAAAAUAAAAGAGUCCUGGCUUUUGCUGACACACAACAGAUCUGAUGCUUUUAGAAGGCAGUUUGGUGAGCCUGUAUUCAAAGAUCAGUUCUGCAUUUCCACUCUGAAUGAAUUGCUCAUUUCAACAUCAGCUCCUUCUUGCUGGACAGGUCCUCUACACAGCCCCUACCUCUUUGGAGUACUGUGAGACAUGCUACUGAAAAUACCUUGUAUGAUAUCCUGCACAGAGCAAGGCUAGCUCCAAACACCUGUGAUUGUAGUCAAGACCUGGGAUUUAACACUGAGUCCCAUGUGUCACUGUUUCUUUAAGAAGGGAGAUGUUUGUGACCUAUUCUUGGCCACAUCUAUUAAGAUGCUCAGAUCACAGCAGGCCCCAUUUGAACCCUUUGAUCAAUUGUUUUAAAACCCUGAUUCCCACACCAUCUGCUCUGCCUUCUGGAAAUAGGUGGGACAUAAGUGAUAAACUGACAAAGGUCAGCCUGAAGGGCUUGGGUCUGAUGUCCUGUGCACUCUGUGCACACUCCGAGGAGAGGACAAAGGGAAACUAAGAGGGACAGUUGGCUGCCUGGAAUCUAAAUUAUGGUCUCAGGAAGGGCUCCUUGAUUGUGGUUCGCUCUCCCUGUUGACUAUAGCCCAUUCAGUUGACCAAGGGCUAGUCAGGGCCCCAGGACCCCUCCUGGGUAUCAGACAUUAUGGAGACAAAGCUCUAUUCCUACCAGCAAGAAUGUCCCUCCACUCCCCAGGUGGCUUUUACUAACCCUGUCCCAGAGUGUCCCUGUCCUGGAAUGUAUAGUCAUGUGAGAUCUCACCCACAAGCAAGGUCUGACAUCUGAGUGGGAGGUGAGGUUGUGCUGUCCCCACUCCAGACUUUUUCAGAAAGUGUCCCUGGGCUUCGGAAGGUAGUAACAGAAUUGAGGUUCCCCGGGUACCAAACUGAUUUCUGAGCCUUAGAGUUACUCCAUGUCUGUAAGGAACAGAAAAUCCACCUCGGUCAUUACUUGACUCAUUGAAGCCAAAGGAUUUUGUUCCUGUUACUUAAUUAAAAAGUUGAAAGAUUUAUAAACUAAGUUUAACAACGUUGCCAGUUGAUCUGAUUUCUCCUCUAAGUGUGGGCAACUAUAGAAAUAGAAGAAUGAGGGGUGAGAGGCGCCUCAGUGGUUAAGAGCACUAUUUGCUCUUCCAGAGGUCCCAAGUUCGAUUCCUAGCAACCACAUAGUGGCUUACAAUCAUCUGCAAAAGAAUCGGAUGCCCUCUUCUGGUGUGUCUGAAGACAGCGACAGUGUACUCACAUAUAUAAAAUAAAAUAAAUAAUCC